UCGCCAGACUCCUACUUUAUGCAUCAUUGUUUAAUAUUUCACAAUUUUCUCAAUCCUUAUUCAUCCAUUCCUCUUGUAUUAAUAAUUCCUUCUUGUUGUAAAUUACUUUCAUCUGUUAUUAAGGUGCUGAUUUUAAUAACCUCAGCAAUUAACUUUACCCGCAGAAGAAGCACCGGCUAACUCCGUGCCAUCAGCCGCUGUAAUACGGAGGGUGCAAGCGUUAAUCGGAAUUACUGGGCGUAAAGCGCACGCAGGCGGUCUGUCAAGUCGGAUGUGAAAUCCCCGGGCUCAACCUGGGAACUGCAUUCGAAACUGGCAGGCUGGAGUCUUGUAGAGGGGGGUAGAAUUCCAGGUGUAGCGGUGAAAUGCGUAGAGAUCUGGAGGAAUACCGGUGGCGAAGGAGGCCCCCUGGAAAAAGACUGACGCUCAGGUGCGAAAGCGUGGGGAGCAAACAGGAUUAGAUACCCUCGUAAG
rnacentral:rRNA from 1 species